rnacentral:rRNA from 1 species
AACGAACGCUGGCGGCGUGGAUAAGACAUGCAAGUCGAACGGGAGUUUGUUUAUAGCAAGUAUGGACGAACUCUAGUGGCGAAAGGGUGCGUAACACGUAGCUACCUACCUCGAAGUUUGGGAUAGCUCGGCGAAAGCCGGAUUAAUACCGAAUGUGAUCGUGAGAUCAAAGCUGGGGAUCGUAAGACCUGGCGCUUUGAGAUGGGGCUGCGGCCUAUCAGGUAGUUGGCGGGGUAAUGGCCCACCAAGCCUAAGACGGGUAGCUGGUCUGAGAGGACGACCAGCCACACUGGAACUGAGACACGGUCCAGACACCUACGGGUGCAGCAGUCGAGGAUUUUCUCAAUGGGGGAAACCCUGAAGGAGCGACGCCGCGUGAGGGAUGAAGGUC